AACGCCAGAUCCUUUAACCCAAUGAGCAAGACCAGGGAUCGAACCUGCAUCCUCAUGGAUACUAGGGGGUUUGUUACCACUGAGCCACAAUGGGAACUCCCUGACUGGUCUUUUCUCGUGAACUGUACCGAGUGUGUGCUUCUCUCAGAAGGCACAAGCUCACUGAGGUAGCUCAAGGCUGAGGCACUUGAGGGAUUUUCACCCUUCUAGAAAAUGUGUUUGGAGGUGAGCGACCCCCUGCUGCCCCCCCACACUUGUAUGAACAUGUUCUUGUGAUGGUCACAUGGACGUUUACUUAGCAGCUCAUGCUGAUCUAGGACAAAUGGCUAAGUACUAACUCUACCCUUGAUGCUCCGCUGGUUGUUCAGUUUUAGGUCAUUGGAAUGAACGGCAUGUGACAAUCAGCCUUUGAAACCUGAGGGAGGGCGCCUUCUGACUUGAAAAUGCCCUGUGGUGAUGAGCAGACUGCAGGCAAUCAGCAGGUAUAAUGCAUCAGAGCACAAAAUGGACGGCUUUACUGCAGCACAAGGAAGCAAAGUAGUUAUUUAGAAAAGUUGCACCAUACUGGUACAAGAAAAGCUAGGCCUUUUCCAGGGAUUACCUAGGGGAAGUGCCUGCUGUAUCAGAGAAAACUUUUAGAGAUCUCUGUAGGGGGCAGGGAGGAAGGUUUGCUGACUAACAAAUACUUAACACCCAGCCUUGCCUUAGGCAGAUAUGCAGCAGGUCAUCCCUCUGUACCUUCCCUUUCUGACCAUUUUCUUGACUUCCUUUCUGGCUUUCAUAUCCCACCUCACCACCAUCCGUGCUACAGAAGCAGCAUUGGGUGGCACAUGGGAUCUCUUUGAGACUCAGGAGUCACUUCAGCUUCCAGAUCAGAGGAAAAUGAAGACCAGCAAUCUCCCCCUGAAGAUGACACUCAUUGACAGAGACUACAAUCUAAUGGAGACCGUCAACCCUAUAGAAGAUUCCAGAGUCAAGAUUAGUACACAGAUGAGGAAGACCAACACUCCAAAAGAUAGCGAACUCAAUCAAGUGGAUGAACUAUCACCCAAGCAAGAUAAAUAGAGCAAGCAAAGCAGGAAUUAAGAAUAUGCAUAAGUAGAUUUUUCCAAUAGAUGGGUGGGGAUAGAGCAGUCACAAACCAACCAACUAGAUGUCAUGGAGAUUUAAACUUGGUCCUUGUAAUAAAAAACUGAAUAAGCAGAUGAAACAGAUUUUUUUCUGAAAUUUAAUUUUACUGUAAUAAAGACUAAUGUAUGCCUUAUAACCUAGGGACUAGUGAUUGUUCAUAAGUUUAGUAGUUCACUUUUUUUUGGAAAGCACAUAACAAUAUUCACAUAAGACAUUAUAGAAAGUAUUUUGAAGAAUGAAAAGUUUUCCAUAAUCCUUUUCAAAAGGCUUGGUCUAUUUUGAAAAAUUGAUAAUGGAAAGCAAAAUUGAAAGAAAGAAAAAUGUUUUUACCCCUGAAUACAUAAGAAACACUUGCCGCUAUUUGUAUUUUAAGUAUCUAGAGCAAAAUGGGCCGAAUUGUUUAAAGGCAGCCAGUAAUAGUUUGUAUAAGGACUUGCUUUAUUUAAUUUAGCACCAUCUCAAAUUAGAGUAAUAAGAUUUAGUCUGGUUUCUCCCAGCCUCUCAUAUCGCCCCACUCCUACCAAGCCACAGCAUAUAAGCACACAUCUUCCUAAUCCUACCUAAGGAAUCUAAAAUGAUUAUUUAAAAAUGGCUGCUCGCAUUAUUCACACUGGCAAGAUUUUUUUCCCCUUAAGCUAGAAUGUGGAUGAUGGCUGAUAGGUAGGAGCUUCUUUGAUCAGGAAUAAAGAACAUCAUCUUUAGCAAACUCAAUUUCCUGGUCCUUGCUAACCUGUUAUACAGGUUUAUUGCUACAUCCGUUUACUAAUUAUGACUGCUAUUUUUGUCAAGGAGAUUUCCCACUAGGCCUGACUGAUCUAUUUCUAAAUCCUAAUGGCAAAGAAUAUGUAUUUUAUGUAGUGUCAUAAGUUUUCUGUUUUACUUAUUCUUCUUAUUGUGAUACUUUGUUACUCAUCAAAACAUAGUGAUCAACAAGAGAACUGGCAGGUAGAUCCUAAAGCAUACAUUUCUUAACCUGAAUAACAUCUGCAAACAUAAGACAUCAACUAUGUUUUCCAUGAAAGAAAAUGCAUUCAGGUUUGGUGCUUAUACAAGAAUUUAUAUUCCAAUGUGAUUUCUAACAAAUCAUAACUCUUGUGAACAUGUCUUUUCAGAAGAAAAUACGUCCUAUGAAAGUAAUAUUUUCCUAAACGUUGAUACAUUUUUUUAUAGUGAAUGGAAAAUUUUGAGUAAACUGAAGUUAUGUUUAACAAAAUUAACAUAGCCUGACUGGUUUCUUCAUUUAAAGGCAGAGGUACAUUUGCAUUCUUCAGUGGAUCUGUAAAUUCAGUUAUUUUUUUCUGGAAUUUUAUACAGAUAGAUAGCAUCUCACACAACCAUGUCCCCUGUGUUAAAAAUGUCUUUUUUGUCAUUGGGUUAUGCAGAAGUUUCUGAUGUGACACUUUCUCCAAAUUGUUAUAAUGUAAUUUUUUACUUUUCCAGAAAACUGUGAAACCUUAGCAGUCACUUAUUCUUACUAAACAAAAGUUAGAUUACUACUAAUUGCUCUUUUUACUUUUGGUCUCAAAGAAUUUUUUAAAGUUUAGACAUCUCUGAUGUUUUUGAAUUGCACACCCAUAGAAGACAACUAGAGAAAACACACUAGACAAUUUCAAAAGAGAAUUCUUUUUUUUUUAUUUUUUAUUUUCCCACUGUACAGCAAGGGGGUCAGGUUAUCCUUACAUGUAUACAUUACAAUUGUAUUUUUUCCCCCACCCUUUCUUCUGUUGCAUCGUGAGUAUCUAGACAAAGUUCUCAAUGCUAUUCAGCAGGAUCUCCUUGUAAAUCUAUUCUAAGCUGUGUUGAUAAGCCCAAACUCCCGAUCCCUCCCACUCCCUCCCCCUCCCAUCAGGCAGCCACAAGUCUCUUCUCCAAGUCCAUGAUUUUCUUUUCUGAGGAGAUGUUCAUUUGUGCUGGAUAUUAGAUUCCAGUUAUAAGUGAUAUCA
rnacentral:lncRNA from 1 species